ensembl:lncRNA novel transcript
AUUUUUUUAGAUUCCAUAUAUAAGUGAGAUCACAAAGUAUGUGUCUUUCUGUGCCUGGCUUAUUUCACUGAACGUAAUGUUCUCCAGGAAAAUAACUGUUAUCUGGGAAACUGCAUUUAAAGGGAAGCUGUUUGCAAUGCUUCUUUGCACACAAGGAACAGAAUCCACAAAGUUCACAACAAGGAACAGAAACCACAAAUUUCACAACAUGACAACAUUCAAAAUGGGAGUAUGUCUCAAGUGCUCCACCAGCCAGCUGAAUGCAGGGUUUUCACAGGUGUAAAACAUGUGACUAUGCCAAUUUUGAUAGUUUCCUCUGACCAGAAAAAUCAGGCUUUUAUGAAAGAAACCAAAAGUGAAGUAUAACUUCCUUCUGAAUCCCCUUUGAAACCCAAGUCCUACUGAAGAGGAAAGAGAACAAAUCCCUAUUGAAAUGCCCUGAAGAGCUUCCACUGCCUAAAUGUGCAGCAUAACCAUCUCUACCUUCUCUUUAAAAAAAACAUUCUAGAGGCUGGGCACGGUGGCUCACGCCUGUAAUCCCAGCACUUUGGGAGGCUGAGGCGGGCGGAUCAC